rnacentral:rRNA from 1 species
UACAGAGGUCCCAAGCGUUGUUCGGAUUUAUUGGGCGUAAAGGGUGCGUAGGUGGCGUCGUAAGUCGGGUGUGAAAUCUCGGGGCUUAACUCCGAAACUGCAUUCGAUACUGCGGGGCUUGAGGACUGGAGAGGAGACUGGAAUUUACGGUGUAGCAGUGAAAUGCGUAGAGAUCGUAAGGAAGACCAGUGGCGAAGGCGGGUCUCUGGACAGUUCCUGACACUGAGGCACGAAGGCCAGGGGAGCAAACGGG